rnacentral:lncRNA from 1 species
UGGACCCACGGAUUGGGCUAACGCAUUAAGUGUAGGCUUGAUGGGUGCGUGCCUAGAUCGGCAGCGUGCGAGGCGCAUGUCUGGAAGGGCCUGUGCAUUGCUUGUUCUGUAUGCAGGGCCUGCGGGCCUUGCGCGUGUGCCCACGGCCAACUGCACGCAGGCCCCAAGCACAUAGGGCCUUUUUGUGUAAGCCUAUAGUGCAGACGACACGCAUAAAGUGUGCGAUGCCAGUCUGUGUGCGAAGUGAGGAACGGACGGCCAGCAAGUGGUUGAUAAGAUGCGCGCGCCAGUUCUGACCUUG